rnacentral:misc_RNA from 1 species
GAUGAAGAACGUAGCGAAAUGCGAUAAGUAAUGUGAAUUGCAGAAUUCAGUGAAUCAUCGAAUCUUUGAACGCACAUUGCGCCCGCUAGUAUUCUGGCGGGCAUGCCUGUCCGAGCGUCAUUUCAACCCUCAAGCCCCCGGGCUUGGUGUUGGGGAUCGGCGAGCCUCCGCGCCCGCCGUCCCCUAAAUCUAGUGGCGGUCUCGCUGUAGCUUCCUCUGCGUAGUAGCACACCUCGCACUGGGAAACAGCGCGGCCACGCCGUUAAACCCCCAACUUCUGAACGUUUGACCUCGGAUCAGGUAGGAAUACCCGCUGAACUUAAGCAUAUCAAUAAGCGGAGA